rnacentral:rRNA from 1 species
CCAAAAUAUCAUGGCGGCCAUUUUAAUCAAUCAGAGGAACUUGUCUCGUAAUCGAUAAUCCUCGAUUAAUUUCACUAUUCUAUAUUCCAAUUAUUUUUAUACCUCCGUCAAAAUUAUUCUUAAAAAAAAAAUUCAAAAAAUUCCUAAAUUAAAAAGUCAGGUCAAGGUGAAAUAACGAAUAGAGAAGAUUAGUUACCCAUUAAAAUAAUUAAAAGAAAAUUACUCAAAACUAAUUAGAAAAAGGAUUUGAAAGUACCUUUUAAAUAAAAAUUAAAAAUGAAUCUAACUUUUGGUGUACAUAUCGCCCGUCACCCUUAUCCAAAGACAAGGUAAGUCGUAACAAAGUUGAAAUAUUGGAAAAUGUUUCAAGAAAAUCUCAGCACCUUGCAUUACAUUUAUAACGAAAC